UCUCCGUUGGUGAACCAGCGGAGGGAUCAUUACCGAGUUUACAACUCCCAAACCCCUGUGAACAUACCAAUUGUUGCCUCGGCGGAUCAGCCCGCUCCCGGUAAAACGGGACGGCCCGCCAGAGGACCCCUAAACUCUGUUUUUAGUGGAACUUCUGAGUAAAACAAACAAAUAAAUCAAAACUUUCAACAACGGAUCUCUUGGUUCUGGCAUCGAUGAAGAACGCAGC
rnacentral:misc_RNA from 1 species